rnacentral:rRNA from 1 species
GAUGAACGCUGGCGGCGUGCCUAAUACAUGCAAGUCGAGCGAACGGACGAGAAGCUUGCUUCUCUGAUGUUAGCGGCGGACGGGUGAGUAACACGUGGAUAACCUACCUAUAAGACUGGGAUAACUUCGGGAAACCGGAGCUAAUACCGGAUAAUAUUUUGAACCGCAUGGUUCAAAAGUGAAAGACGGUCUUGCUGUCACUUAUAGAUGGAUCCGCGCUGCAUUAGCUAGUUGGUAAGGUAACGGCUUACCAAGGCAACGAUGCAUAGCCGACCUGAGAGGGUGAUCGGCCACACUGGAACUGAGACACGGUCCAGACUCCUACGGGAGGCAGCAGUAGGGAAUCUUCCGCAAUGGGCGAAAGCCUGACGGAGCAACGCCGCGUGAGUGAUGAAGGUCUUCGGAUCGUAAAACUCUGUUAUUAGGGAAGAACAUAUGUGUAAGUAACUGUGCACAUCUUGACGGUACCUAAUCAGAAAGCCACGGCUAACUACGUGCCAGCAGCCGCGGUAAUACGUAGGUGGCAAGCGUUAUCCGGAAUUAUUGGGCGUAAAGCGCGCGUAGGCGGUUUUUUAAGUCUGAUGUGAAAGCCCACGGCUCAACCGUGGAGGGUCAUUGGAAACUGGAAAACUUGAGUGCAGAAGAGGAAAGUGGAAUUCCAUGUGUAGCGGUGAAAUGCGCAGAGAUAUGGAGGAACACCAGUGGCGAAGGCGACUUUCUGGUCUGUAACUGACGCUGAUGUGCGAAAGCGUGGGGAUCAAACAGGAUUAGAUACCCUGGUAGUCCACGCCGUAAACGAUGAGUGCUAAGUGUUAGGGGGUUUCCGCCCCUUAGUGCUGCAGCUAACGCAUUAAGCACUCCGCCUGGGGAGUACGACCGCAAGGUUGAAACUCAAAGGCAUUGACGGGGACCCGCACAAGCGGUGGAGCAUGUGGUUUAAUUCGAAGCAACGCGAAGAACCUUACCAAAUCUUGACAUCCUUUGACAACUCUAGAGAUAGAGCCUUCCCCUUCGGGGGGCAAAGUGACAGGUGGUGCAUGGUUGUCGUCAGCUCGUGUCGUGAGAUGUUGGGUUAAGUCCCGCAACGAGCGCAACCCUUAAGCUUAGUUGCCAUCAUUAAGUUGGGCACUCUAAGUUGACUGCCGGUGACAAACCGGAGGAAGGUGGGGAUGACGUCAAAUCAUCAUGCCCCUUAUGAUUUGGGCUACACACGUGCUACAAUGGACAAUACAAAGGGCAGCGAAACCGCGAGGUCAAGCAAAUCCCAUAAAGUUGUUCUCAGUUCGGAUUGUAGUCUGCAACUCGACUACAUGAAGCUGGAAUCGCUAGUAAUCGUAGAUCAGCAUGCUACGGUGAAUACGUUCCCGGGUCU